UACGGAGGGUGCAAGCGUUAUCCGGAUUCACUGGGUUUAAAGGGUGCGUAGGUGGGCUAGUAAGUCCGUGGUGAAAUCUCUGAGCUUAACUCGGAAACUGCCGUGGAUACUAUUAGUCUUGAAUCUCGUGGAGGUAAGCGGAAUAUGUCAUGUAGCGGUGAAAUGCUUAGAUAUGACAUAGAACACCGAUAGCGAAGGCAGCUUGCUACACGAGUAUUGACACUGAGGCACGAAAAGCGUGGGGGAUCAAAACAGG
rnacentral:rRNA from 1 species